rnacentral:rRNA from 1 species
CCAGACUCCUACGGGAGGCAGCAGUGGGGAAUAUUGCACAAUGGGGGGAACCCUGAUGCAGCGACGCCGCGUGAGUGAAGAAGUAUUUCGGUAUGUAAAGCUCUAUCAGCAGGGAAGAAAAUGACGGUACCUGACUAAGAAGCCCCGGCUAACUACGUGCCAGCAGCCGCGGUAAUACGUAGGGGGCAAGCGUUAUCCGGAUUUACUGGGUGUAAAGGGAGCGUAGACGGCAGAGCAAGUCUGAAGUGAAAGCCCGCGGCCCAACUGCGGGACUGCUCUUGGAACUGCAUGGCUGGAGUACAGGAGGGGCAGGCGGAAUUCCUAGUGUAGCGGUGAAAUGCGUAGAUAUUAGGAGGAACACCGGUGGCGAAGGCGGCUUACUGGACUGUAACUGACGUUGAGGCUCGAAAGCGUGGGGAGCAAACAGGAUUAGAUACCCGUGUA